rnacentral:snRNA from 1 species
AUACUUACCUUAAGAUAUCAGGGGAGAUCAAGAAGUCCUACUGAUCAAACAUGCACUUCCAAUGGUAGAAGGACGUUAAGCAUUCAUCUUUGAACUUUUAACAGUUCAUUGAAGUCAUUGAUGCAAACUCCUUGGUCUCAUACACAUACGUCGCGGAAGGUGUGUUUGCUGACGUUUCCGUUCCCUUGUUUCAAUCAUUGGUUAUCCCGUGGUUUCUUCGGAGAUCUUGGGGUUCAACUGAUUUUUGAGGCCCUUUGUUUCUUCUGCCUGGAGAAGUUUGACACCAAAUUCAAAUUGGUGUUAGGGGAGCUGGGGUCUUUUAGAAGAGAGUUUUAUCGAGACAUUCUUUUAAGUGUACUUUUCUCUAGUGUACCCUCCAGUCUUUCAAUGGCAGAUUCGAAUGAACUUUUGUUUAUGAUGAAGGUAUAGCUAUUGGGAUUGAUUGGUCAGAAUUGUAUAUUUGGAGAUGCGCUCUUUUGAGCAGUCUCGACUUUACUCAUUUCCAUUUAUGGAAAAAAUUUUAGAAGAACUUGGUAGGAACGGGUGGAUCUUAUAAUUUUUGAUUUAUUUU